rnacentral:rRNA from 1 species
AUUGAACGCUGGCGGCAGGCCUAACACAUGCAAGUCGAACGGUAGCACAGAGAGCUUGCUCUCGGGUGACGAGUGGCGGACGGGUGAGUAAUGUCUGGGAAACUGCCUGAUGGAGGGGGAUAACUACUGGAAACGGUAGCUAAUACCGCAUAACGUCGCAAGACCAAAGAGGGGGACCUUCGGGCCUCUUGCCAUCAGAUGUGCCCAGAUGGGAUUAGCUAGUAGGUGGGGUAACGGCUCACCUAGGCGACAAUCCCUAGCUGGUCUGGGAGGAUGGCCAGCCACACUGGAACUGAGACACGGUCCAGACUCCUACGGGAGGCAGCAGUGGGGAAUAUUGCACAAUGGGCGCAAGCCUGAUGCAGCCAUGCCGCGUGUAUGAAGAAGGCCUUCGGGUUGUAAAGUACUUUCAGCGGGGAGGAAGGCGAUAAGGUUAAUAACCUUGUCGAUUGACGUUACCCGCAGAAGAAGCACCGGCUAACUCCGUGCCAGCCGCCGCGGUAA